rnacentral:rRNA from 1 species
AGAGUUUGAUCCUGGCUCAGAACGAACGCUGGCGGCGUGGCUAAGACAUGCAAGUCGAACGAACCGGUCAAUUGGGUAACUGAGAGAUCGGUUAGUGGCGAAAGGGUGAGGAAUAGAUAGGUAACGUACCUUGUACUUCGGGAUAGCGUCGUGUCCGCAAGGAUACUACCGAAAGGGGCAUUAAUACCGAAUGAUGUGGUCUGUCGUAUGGCGGAUUACCAAAGAUUUAUCGGUGCAAGAGCGGCCUAUCUCCUAUCAGUUAGUUGGUGAGGUAACGGCCCACCAAGACUAUGACGGGUAGCGGGACUGAGAGGUUGGCCCGCCACAUCGGAACUGAGAUACUGUCCGGACCUCCACGGAGGGCUGCAGUAACGAAUAUUGGGCAAUGGGCGAAAGCCUGACCCAGCGACGCCGCGUGCGGGAGGAAGUCCCUCGGGAUGUAAACCGCUGUCAGGGAGAAGAAAGUCCGCAAGGAUUGAUCUAUCCCAGAGGAAGCCACGGCUAACUUCGUGCCAGCAGCCGCGGUAAGACGAAGGUGGCGAGCGUUGUUCGGAAUCACUGGGCUUAAAGCGCAUGUAGGCGGAUGAGUAAGCGUUUUGUGAAAUCCCCCGGCUUAACCGGGGAAUUGCUUGGCGAACUGCUCAUCUUGAGGCAAGUAGGGGUGCAUGGAACUCUUGGUGGAGCGGUGGAAUGCGUAGAUAUCAAGAGGAACGCCAGCGGAGAAAUCGGUGCACUGGACUUGUCCUGACGCUCAGAUGCGAAAGCGUGGGGAGCGAACGGGGAUUAGAUACCCCGGUAGU